GCUCAGACCGAACGCUGGCGGCGUGGCUAAGACAUGCAAGUCGAACGGACUCGUUAAUUUAUUAGCGAGUCAGUGGCGAAAGGGUGAGUAAUGAAUAGGUAACGUACCCCGAGCUCUGGGAUAGCCAUCCGAAAGGAUGGGUAAUACCGGAUAACAUCACGAGUCGAUGGGCUCGUGAUCAAAGAUUCAUCGGCGCGGGAGCGGCCUAUUUCCUAUCAGCUAGUUGGUGAGGUAACGGCCCACCAAGGCGAAGACGGGUAGCGGGACUGAGAGGUUGGCCCGCCACAUCGGAACUGAGACACUGUCCGGACCCCCACGGGGGGCUGCAGUAACGAAUCUUGGGCAAUGGGCGAAAGCCUGACCCAGCGACGCCGCGUGCGGGAGGAAGUCCUUCGGGAUGUAAACCGCUGUCAGGGGUAAGAAAGUCCACUUCGGUGGAUUGAUCGAACCCAGAGGAAGUCACGGCUAACUCUGUGCCAGCAGCCGCGGUAAGACAGAGGUGGCUAGCGUUGUUCGGUAUCACUGGGCUUAAAGCGUGUGUAGGCGGGAGCGUAAGCAUUUUGUGAAAUCCCCCGGCUCAACCGGGGCAUUGCUUGAUGUACUGCGUUCCUUGAGGCAAGUAGGGGUGCGAGGAACUCUUGGUGGAGCGGUGGAAUGCGUAGAUAUCAAGAGGAACGCCGGUGGUGAAGACGUCGCACUAGGCUUGUCCUGACGCUGAGACACGAAAGCGUGGGGAGCGAACGGGAUUAGAUACCCCGGUAGUCCACGCCGUAAACGAUGCUUACUAGGUUGUGGCGGUUCUGACGCCGGCACAGCCGAAGCCAAAGUGUUAAGUAAGCCGCCUGGGGAGUACGGUCGCAAGGCUAAAACUC
rnacentral:rRNA from 1 species